rnacentral:rRNA from 1 species
AGCAGUCGCCGCGGGAAUACGUAGGGCGCAAGCGUUGUCCGGAAUUAUUGGGCGUAAAGAGCUCGUAGGCGGUCUGUCGCGUCUGGUGUGAAAUCCCGAGGCUCAACCUCGGGCUUGCAUCGGGUACGGGCAGACUAGAGUGCGGUAGGGGAGACUGGAAUUCCUGGUGUAGCGGUGGAAUGCGCAGAUAUCAGGAGGAACACCGAUGGCGAAGGCAGGUCUCUGGGCCGCAACUGACGCUGAGGAGCGAAAGCAUGGGGAGCGAACAGGAUUAGAUACCCGAGUAGUCCCUGUCUCUUAUAC